rnacentral:lncRNA from 1 species
UUUGGUGUUUUGAUUGCAAAACGACGCCGUUUUCAAAUUGGGGGAAAAAUUAAAAUUAGGGUUCUUAGAAACAUUAGUGAACCGGAGAGAGUGUGAGUGAGUUUGAAGAGAAACAUCUCAAUUCAAAACGAAACUGUGUCUAAUAAUCGAAGAAGCGAUCCCUUGUUUGACGAAAACGACUUCCAAGCUACAAUUUUGGGUCUUUGAGAAGAGAGAAUGAGGUAAUGAGUAGUUUCUUCUUUCUUUGUUUAUGUCAAUUUAAUUUGUUAAGUCUAAAUGAUAUGAUAUUUUCGUAUUAGAAUCAUUCCUUUUUUCAAUUUACAUAUAAAGCAAGUCUCAGCAACUUCAAUUUCUUCAUUGUAGAGUUCGAUUUUAAUUAACCCUCCAAGUGUUCGAUGAAAUGUCUGAGAGAGUUGUAAUUGGGUUGAAUGUUAAUUUUUUGAUGUCGUUUGCAGUACUAUGGAUGUGGCAACAUUCAGUGUGUACUACGGUGGGAAUUGGGUGACUAGUGAAGAUGAGGAGGAUGCUUAUAUCGGUGGAGAGGUGAAGAUGCUAGAGUGUAAACCGGAGGAAUUUUAUACAAAAUUAGGGUCUGAACUCAACACCAAACCAAAUGUUAAC